AGCGGACUGAGGGCCAGCAGAGCGGGGAAUGCGAAGUGGGCAAGCGUUGUUCGGAUUUACUGGGCGUACAGGGAGCGUAGGCGGUGGGAUAAGCCCUCCGUGAAAGCUCCAGGCGGAACCUGGAAAGUGCAGAGGGGACUGGUCAGCUAGAGGAGGGGAGAGGAGCGCGGAAGUCCCGGUGUAGCGGUGAAAUGCGUAGAGAUCGGGAGGAAGGCCGGUGGCGAAGGCGGCGCUCUGGAACAUUUCUGACGCUGAGGCUCGAAAGCGUGGGGAGCAAACAGGAUUAGAUACCCGUGUAGC
rnacentral:rRNA from 1 species